AGGAUGCCUUCCUGAGUCUUGUAAACUAAGCUCUCUGAAAUAUGUGGCCCUCAGGAUCACUUUGAUGGAGGAAAAAAAGAGAUGGAAACAGCAAAUCUACUCUUACCUGCCCAGUCCUUGAAGCGACACACGCAGCUGGAUCCAUGGCCAGAACUAGUCAUGUGACCACAACCUGCCCGGAGGGGACUCUGCAAAAUUGAGGGGACAGAGGAGAGCAGAGAGCAAGAAGAAGUUGCCUAACCUGGAAUGGCCAGACUCUAAUUCUGAUUUCAAGUCCCUGAUGUGAGAGGUUCCUGGAAAGGGAUAUUGAGACUGUUUUGCAGGAAGAAAACCAGCUCUGAGGCCUGAAUGGUGGUCAUGAAGGAUGCUUGUGUUGGGACAAAGGACCUGAUAAUUUAGUGCCAACCAGGCAUGCUUGAGAGGAAAAGCUGAGCUCCCUGACACGUUAGCAAAUUUUGUUUCAACUCUGUGAAACCUCUCUCAUCUCAUACUAGGACAUGGCCUGACUUCCAGUGGAGGCAAUGAGUACUACAGAUGUGUAGAUUUCAUAAAAUUUAUUUACGUCAGCCUCUUGAAACAUGUUGAAUUGAGGUAGGAGGUAGGGUAUCUAGUAGUUUUAGUCUUUAUCUCAAAUUUCAUUAUUGAUUUUGGAAUAAAGCCUGGGAAAAUGCUUAUUUAUGACCUCCCAGAUUCCUUCAUUCAAGAUGAAUUUAUGGUCAAAUGACAAUUUGUUAGUUUUCUUGGCUCUGACAUGAUACUGCGUUUGGUAAAUAUGAAGCCAUAUUACUCUACUGCACAAGAAAAAAAUGAUAUAAUCUGAAAUGUUUCUUCUUACACUCAUUUUUCAAACAGGUUUCCUGGUUUAGUUGAAAACUAAUGGCUUACACACCAGCAAUGUGUUGAAAAACCGUUACGUUAUGAUUGUGCACAAAAGUAAAUGAGAUGUCAGAAGACACUUAGGUCCUAAGGGAACCCAGAGCCCCAGGCAGACGGAGUCUAUUUCCCUGAAUUGCUGCCUAAAGGAAAGACACACCUGCCAAACAAGAACAGACACCUGGGACAUUUGCAUGAGUAGGGAAGAAACUACUAUGGGGGUAAGCCGUGGAAAUUGGGUGGUUGAU